rnacentral:rRNA from 1 species
CGCACCGGCUAACUCCGUGCCAGCAGCCGCGGUAAUACGGAGGGUGCGAGCGUUAAUCGGAAUUACUGGGCGUAAAGCGCAUGCAGGCGGCCUGUUAAGUCAGAUGUGAAAGCCCGGGGCUUAACCUCGGAAUUGCAUUUGUAAACUAGGCAGGCUAGAGUCUUGUAGAGGGGGGUAGGAAUUUCUAGGUGUAGACGGUGAAAUAGCGUAGAGAUCUGAAGGAAUACCAGUGGCGAAGGCGGCCCCCUGGACAAAGACUGACGCUCAGAUGCGAAAGCGUGGGGAGCAAACAGGAUUAGAUACCCCCUGGUAG